rnacentral:rRNA from 1 species
GACUACCGGGGUAUCUAAGCCCGUUUGCUCCCCACGCUGUCGCGCUUCAGCGUCAGAACUCGGCCAGGGUGCCGCCUUCGCUACUGGUGUUCCUCCCGAUCUCAACGCAUUUCACCACUCCACCGGGAAUUCCACACCCCUCUCCGAGUCUCUAGCCAGGCAGUUUCCCGCGCGCUCUCCCAGUUGAGCCGGGAGCUUUUACGCGAGACUUGCCUUGCCGCCUAGACGCCCUUUACGCCCAGUGAUUCCGGAUAACGCUUGCCCCCUACGUAUUACCGCGGCUGCUGGCACGUAGUUAGCCGGGACUUAUUCCUGAGGUACCGUCCUUGCUCGUCCCCCAGAAAAGCGGUUUACAACCCGAAGGCCUUCUUCCCGCACGCGGCGUCGCUGCAUCAGGCUUUCGCCCAUUGUGCAAGAUUCCUCACUGCAGCCCCCCGUAGG